rnacentral:rRNA from 1 species
GACGAACGCUGGCGGCGUGCUUAACACAUGCAAGUCGAACGGAAAGGCCCUGCUUUUGUGGGGUGCUCGAGUGGCGAACGGGUGAGUAACACGUGAGUAACCUGCCCUUGACUUUGGGAUAACUUCAGGAAACUGGGGCUAAUACCGGAUAGGAGCUCCUGCUGCAUGGUGGGGGUUGGAAAGUUUCGGCGGUUGGGGAUGGACUCGCGGCUUAUCAGCUUGUUGGUGGGGUAGUGGCUUACCAAGGCUUUGACGGGUAGCCGGCCUGAGAGGGUGACCGGCCACAUUGGGACUGAGAUACGGCCCAGACUCCUACGGGAGGCAGCAGUGGGGAAUAUUGCACAAUGGGCGGAGGCAUGAUGCAGCAACGCCGCGUGCGGGAUGACGGCCUUCGGGUGGUAAACAGCUUUCGCCUGUGACGAAGCGUGAGUGACGGUAAUGGGGAAAGAAGCACCGGCUAACUACGU